GGCCGAUGACUGGAGAUCUUUUGUCCGUACCAUCUGAUUUUUCUGAUGAGUCGCUUUUGCCAAAUUUUCUGAGGCCC
rnacentral:snoRNA from 1 species